AUAAUUACAAUAGUUGGGGCUUCAGACUCUGGGAAAGCUCAUAAGAAAUGCCUGGCGAGGAACCUCAAGCAAUACAAGAAGCAAGAAAGGUUGAAGAGUUUCAAGCCUGUUAGAAUUUAAAGUGGUAGGUUUCAGAAUUCCAAACGCUCCUUUGAAAAACUGUGGUGUCUCUUUAAGAGCCAUUUGGUGCAUUUCAUAGCCUGAUUCAUGUCACCAGCUGCCCCUGAUUUCAGUGAGAAAUGAAGAAUUUAUAGGGAACUGUAAAAUGGGGACAGGUUUUUAGUUUUCUAAAUUGAGGUUUAAUGGGCAAACUUCGGAAGGCUCAAGAAACCCCUGAGCCUAGCCGUGGGGAACUGGUUUCUUUUCUGUUUAGAAGAAAUAAACACACAAACACAUUAUCUAACUCUCAAAGUGUUGCGAGAAAGAAAGCAUUGCUCUAUGCUGAGUAGGAAAAUGAAGAAUAAGCCUUGUGGGCAAGAGGAGGAGGAGGAGGAUCACAUUGGCCAGUAGGCAGCACCCUGUACUGGCAGAGGGAGAAAUCUGAGCCUCAGCCGCGCUGCGCCACGAUCCGGCUUUGUACAAACUAUCUGGUUUCAAGUUGCAAGACUCCGGGAGUCUCUGGGAAGGUGCCCCAGAGACAGGGCGCCCUUUGCGGGGACCCUGAGGAUUGGUGAGAAUCCCCCAUCCCCAGCCACCCAGAGGGCAAGCAGGGGAGAAUCGGGGCUUAACAAGGAAAGACGAAGGUAAACGGCAAACUUGGCGUCUCUGUGUCUGACACAGGGAUCUCAUGCUGAAAUCACUUGGAAUGCAACAGCAGUGAGCAGCUCUCCUUCUGCCACCUGCUGCAAGUGUGCCCUCUCUUGAGGCCCAGCUCCAUCCUAUACUGCAACUUUUCUCGACGGACAUCUUAGAAUUUUGGUAUCUUCAAUAUCCUAUGAUCUGUAUUGCAAGGCUCACCCUCAUUCAGGACAAUGUUCUCAGACCUUCUUUGAGGAGACACUUGAACCUCUCUGAAAGACUUUCGAAGGCCCUGCUGUCCACUGCUCAGGUGAUAGCGGAUGGAAGGCUCACGGGUGCAGGGUUGUAGGCAAGGGAAAGUUUGCUGAGACUGCUCUAGAGAGGGAUCCGGAGCUCAGAGUCCAUUUCUGCAGAAUGCCUGGUGCUGAAAACUCACCCUGUCCUCAGACUUGACUGGGCUGAACAUCAGGACGCUCUCUGACGGUGCUCCCUUGGUCCCUGCUUUCCUCCAGCUCCCAGCAGCCACUCGCUUCAGCAGCUGAGUAAGUGGACAAAGGAAUGAACCCCAAGCCAGGUAAUGUUGCAGUGGUACUCUACAGUCAAAGCCAUAGUUGCCUGGACAUAGGAAUAGCCAGGACCAGCCAGUCAAAUACACAGCCAAGUGAUGUGGGCCUUGUUAAGGGAAGGAACUCCUAAAAUCUGGUUGUCGAUGGAGUACAUCAGAGUAAGACUUUGCAACAGGGGCAAUGACAACCCUUUCAAGUGUUGUGAUUGUCAGGAUCCUGUGGCAACCUGUCCUUGGUGCCCUGACUUACUAAAGUCCUUCUUAUGUGAGCUGGGAGAAAUUCAAUUCAUGUGUUCUUGGACGAUUUCAAGGAUUUUCAACAAGAUAUGUUUGUGCCACUGGAUAUUGAUGCUGUUGCUGUCUUUAUUGCAUUUGGAGCCCAGUCCCUGAAGAAAAGCCAGCUGGUCCAUUACUGGAUGGUGAGCAAGAGCAAAGGGCGCAGUGUCCACAGGCGGUGUCUGCCAGAGCAGUGUAGUGUCCAGCAAGAAGUGGGAGAGGUCGUGAGCUACACUAAAUCUGCCAAGCCUGCUGGCAGGACCUGGGAAAGUUGGAAAGAAUAAGAAGCUUCAAUAGAGCUGGGGGGUUUCUGGUGCAGAGGAAAAUGGGGGUUACUAGGCCAGCAUCAGCCUUGCUUCCUGUUCAGCCAUGAAAGCUAACUUUCUCCCCAGGGUGUCAUCCUUGUCUUCUGCGGAGUGUCUUACUAGAUCCCAGGAUUUAUGGACCCAAAUAGACUAUUAAUUUAUUGUAGGAGUCUUUAGUGACUUAUUAUAAAUACUAGUUGGCACUGCCUAAAUAAAUGUCUUCUAAGAAAUAUUUUGACUCUAAUCCUAAUGAGAAAUCCAUUUUACACAGUCAUUCAGUACUGUGUACACUGAGCAAUGGCAAGGGAAGUUUCAGGAACCAACACUUACCCUUCACAGAACAGAUAAAUCAAUACAGAAGAUUGUAGAGACUGCAAGGUUCCGAGGGGGGGAAGGACAGUCCAUGUAAGCUGUAGUGGAGGAAUUCUAAGCCCACCAAUAACAAAUCUGGAAACUUCCACACUUUACCUGGUAGACAGAAUUGGUUUAAAGUGGCUUGCCCCCGAAGUGAAGAUCUAAAGAUAAGGAAUGAAUUAUACACACUUGUAAAACUGGGGCCAUUUCGCAGACAGUAUUUUAAGUGAAGAAGAAGCUAAACAUCAAAGACAAGUAUUGUAUGGUAUCAUUUAUAUGAAAUUUCUAGAAAAGCCAAACAAUAGAGAGACAGAAAGCAGGCCAGAGGUUUGCUGGGCUAAAGGAAUGCACAGAGGAGAGGGCUGUGUGGGGAAAGGAGAGGGCUCCGAAGCCAAUGAUGACGGCAUCUCUGCAUACACUUAGUAUACAAGGACACUGUACAGCGACAGUGUAUAAACACUCGGUUGAGGCUGCGGGAGGCCUGGGGACUGACGACACUAAGCCUGAAGGGGGACGAUAGUCAAAUUUGUUUAUUUGUACUAUGUUCUUCGGCCAUGCUGGGUCCAGACUAAACCUCUCGGGAUUUUAUUGCCUCCUCAUACCACAGCCACAGCAUCAUUAGAGUGCGUGUGGUUUAUAAACAGCUCAUGGAAAACUGUACGCAUGCAUAGGUGGACGCUGCUUAGAUUUACCUCGGGAGCAAAAUUCUUUUAUAAGCAAUGGGGUUUUCUAAAUCCAAGCAACUGUUAGAUUUGGUUUCUGUAUUUUUGUAAUGUUUUCAAGGGCAAUUUCUCACCGCGUUGUCCAGGAUAGCUUUGAAUGCUUGUGUUCAAGUGGUCUUUCUGCUCCCCGCUUCCUGGGGAGCUGAUACUGUGACACCAGCUGUCUACAUGCUUAUAUACAAUAACCAACAAAUACCGUGAACAGACUCUAACAAGCUGCAGCUUCAUGCACCCGUGUUUGUCAUAUUUACGGCUAGUUCUGACUACAUGAAUGUGGAGGCCCAAAGAGGCCAAAGGUCAGAGAGUUUGAGACUUGUUUUUAGUUCGAGAUUAUUGUGCUUCUAACUCAGAGAUAAACAACUAUUUACCUAAUUGUAAGUCAGAGUUCUGCUCUCUCAAGGCUACUGUAAACAGGUAUGGCUAGUUGCCAGACCUCGUGCUCCUGAAAUAGCUUAGUAGUUGGUUCCUACCUAAAACAAGAGUCUAAGGAUCCAACUAGGUUCCAGUUUCCUUUAUGGAAAUAACUUGGGAGUCUACCCAGGGAGUGGUUUGCCUACAGAGUGUUUGGUCUAGGGCAUGAGUCAAGGGCAUGAGUGGUGAAUGUAACCCAUGACUUUCAAUUUGUACGUCAAUGAAGUCCUUUUGUUCGAUGCCUACCUUUUGAAAUCAGGGGUAUAGUAAGCUGUUGGAUAUUAAACAGGGAUGAAUUUUCAGUACUCACUGAGAUUCCCUCCCGAUACUA